AGAGUUUGAUCCUGGCUCAGGAUGAACGCUAGCGGCAGGCCUAACACAUGCAAGUCGAGGGGUAAUCCCGCUUUCGGGCGGGAACGACCGGCGCACGGGUGAGUAACGCGUAUGCAACCUACCUUUAACAGGGGGAUAGCCCGAAGAAAUUCGGAUUAAUACCCCAUAAUACUAUGAAUAAGCAUUUAUUUAUAUUAAAAACUCCGGUGGUUAAAGAUGGGCAUGCGUAACAUUAGAUAGUUGGUGAGGUAACGGCUCACCAAGUCUACGAUGUUUAGGGGGCCUGAGAGGGUGGUCCCCCACACUGGUACUGAGACACGGACCAGACUCCUACGGGAGGCAGCAGUGAGGAAUAUUGCGCAAUGGAGGAAACUCUGACGCAGCCAUGCCGCGUGCAGGAUGACGGCCCUACGGGUUGUAAACUGCUUUUAUACAGGAAGAAUUUUCCGCACGUGUGCGGGAUUGACGGUACUGUACGAAUAAGCACCGGCUAACUCCGUGCCAGCAGCCGCGGUAAUACGGAGGGUGCAAGCGUUAUCCGGAUUUAUUGGGUUUAAAGGGUGCGUAGGCGGGAUAAUAAGUCAGUGGUGAAAUACUGCAGCUCAACUGUAGAACUGCCAUUGAUACUGUUAUUCUUGAGUUCGAUUGAGGUAGGCGGAAUGUGUAAUGUAGCGGUGAAAUGCUUAGAUAUUACACAGAACACCGAUUGCGUAGGCAGCUUACUAAGUCGACACUGACGCUGAGGCACGAAAGCGUGGGGAGCGAACAGGAUUAGAUACCCUGGUAGUCCACGCUGUAAACUAUGAUCACUAGCUGUUGGCGAUACAUCGAUCAGCGGCAAAGCGAAAGCAUUAAGUGAUCCACCUGGGGAGUACGGUCGCAAGAUUGAAACUCAAAGGAAUUGACGGGGGCCCGCACAAGCGGUGGAACAUGUGGUUUAAUUCGAUGAUACGCGAGGAACCUUACCUGGGCUUAAAUGCAGAUUGACGUUUCGGGAAACCGGAAUUCUCUUCGGAGCGAUUUGCAAGGUGCUGCAUGGUUGUCGUCAGCUCGUGCCGUGAGGUGUCGGGUUAAGUCCCAUAACGAGCGCAACCCCUAUCGUUAGUUGCCAGCGGAUAAUGCCGGGGACUCUAACGAAACUGCCGGUGUAAACCGAGAGGAAGGUGGGGAUGACGUCAAAUCAGCACGGCCCUUAUGUCCAGGGCUACACACGUGUUACAAUGGUCGGUACAGAGGGCAGCUACCUGGUGACAGGAUGCUAAUCUCGAAAGCCGGUCUUAGUUCGGAUCGAAGUCUGCAACUCGACUUCGUGAAGCUGGAAUCGCUAGUAAUCGCGUAUCAGCAACGACGCGGUGAAUACGUUCCCGGGCCUUGUACACACCGCCCGUCAAGCCAUGGAAGCUGGGGGUACCUGAAGUCUGUAACCGCAAGGAGCGGCCUAGGGUAAAACUAGUGACUGGGGCUAAGUCGUAACAAGGUA
rnacentral:rRNA from 1 species